GGUGGCUCAGUGAUAGAGCGCUUGCUUUGCAUGCAUGAAGCCCUGGGUUCGAUUCCUCAGCACCA
rnacentral:tRNA from 1 species